rnacentral:rRNA from 1 species
ACGGAGGAUGCAAGCGUUAUCCGGAAUCAUUGGGCGUAAAGCGUCCGCAGGUGGUCAAUCAAGUCUGCUGUUAAAGACAGAAGCUCAACUUCUGAUAGGCAGUGGAAACUGGUUAGCUAGAGUAUGGUAGGGGUUGAGGGAAUUCCCAGUGUAGCGGUGAAAUGCGUAGAUAUUGGGAAGAACACCAGUGGCGAAGGCGCUCAACUGGGCCAUAACUGACACUCAGGGACGAAAGCUAGGGUAGCGAAAGGG